rnacentral:rRNA from 1 species
UGGGGAAUAUUGCACAAUGGGCGCAAGCCUGAUGCAGCCAUGCCGCGUGUGUGAAGAAGGCCUUCGGGUUGUAAAGCACUUUCAGCGAGGAGGAAGGUGGUGAACUUAAUACGUUCAUCAAUUGACGUUACUCGCAGAAGAAGCACCGGCUAACUCCGUGCCAGCAGCCGCGGUAAUACGGAGGGUGCAAGCGUUAAUCGGAAUUACUGGGCGUAAAGCGCACGCAGGCGGUUUGUUAAGUCAGAUGUGAAAUCCCCGGGCUCAACCUGGGAACUGCAUUUGAAACUGGCAAGCUAGAGUCUCGUAGAGGGGGGUAGAAUUCCAGGUGUAGCGGUGAAAUGCGUAGAGAUCUGGAGGAAUACCGGUGGCGAAGACGGCCCCCCUGGACGAAGACUGACGCUCAGGUGCGAAAAGGCGUGGGGGCAGCAAACAGGAUUAGAUACCCCUGGUAGGUCCACGCUGUAAAACGAUGUCGAUUUUGGAGGUUGUGCCCCUUGAGGCGUGG